CGCACAGUCGGAAGAGAAAAUGUGUGAAGAUCGAAAACGGAGUAAAUACGUAGACACGGAAUUGCCGUGCUCCGACUUUUACAGGAAUGAGACGCUCCCAUGUGGAACAGAACACGCCAGAUUGUCGUUAUUCUUACUAUUGUUAACUAUUACAUUAAGCUUGUUGCGAUAUUUAGAAUUUUGACGAUAUGAUUCAAGUAGAUACAAUGUCUUGCUGUGACUUUCAAUUGCUCAAACAUCUUUUGGCAUUCGGGAGUAUUCGUGGUAACUUGUCAUUUUCCAGUCUACAUUUAUAUUACGCAGAAAACAUAGGAACGACAGAAAUAAAUAUCUUUACUACUUUCACAACAUUUUAACGUUGUAAAAGCGUCCCAGCAUGUAAUAUAAAUGACCAACAUUCAGCAAAACUAAGUACCCGUUGUCCUAAAUGAAGCGCAUAAACCUUUGUCUCUGUUUCCAUAUGCGUCUUACUAUGCUACAUUUCUGUACCUUGUGUACUGUCAAGAGCUUUUUUAUAGACAGACUGUGAUUCCAAAGCACCAGAAGUUGAAAUAUACUUAGUACAAUUACAGGGAAGCUUUUAUUUCCACCGAAAUACCUCUUGGUGAUUUACAUGUAGUUAGUAAAGUCGAUGUGUACAAACAUUUGGAAUAUUUUCAUAAUGAGUCUUGAGUAAAAGUCACAGCAGAUGUUUAACAGAAUGCCUUGUAAACAAAAUUCAAGAUAUGCAAAGUGCUAAGCACAUAAUCAAAAGGCCUUUGUAGUACUUAGAAUGUCGUAUUAUCAUUAUCAUGGUAAAAAAGGCAGACAAUUGGUUUCGGCAAAUUUCGUGUAAUGUCGUUAUAUUCCGUGACUGAUUUGGUCGUUGCAUGUGCCCUGUUCCAUAUACAUAGAAAUGUUGGGUAUUCGAUAAAAACUACACUCUUGUCAGUAAAAAUGUACUACAAGCGUGCAUUAAUCCAUCAAAACCAAUCAGUUGUUAAUGCAGAAUAAUACAGAUUCUAACACGAACAGCAAAUAACCUACAUACAUGUAGAACAAAAUCUAUCUCGGGUUAUUCUGCAAUAAGCUACUCGCGUGCAAUUACGUCAUCCGAUCCAGGUGCGUUGCACGGCCGUAAAAAGUAGUAACCAUUUUUUCUAACACUGUUGAUACUAGUAUGUCGUGUUAGAAUCGAAGUAAGAAGUUCCAAAGUGUGAUUUAUGGUAGAAUAACCCGAGUGUUUCGUUCUUAUGCGAAACAAUACAUCACUCAGGCCAACGGCCUUCGUGAUAUAUUCUUACGCAUAAGAACUCAAAACUCGAGUUAUUCUACGAUAAACCACGUUUGGGAAGCGUGUACUCGAAUCUUGACAAUUCCGAUUACCGUAAAUAUGAAAAAGUUCAGUAAAUGUAUUGUUUACAUCAAGACGUACUUAAAGAUCAACUGCAUAAGAGUGAUAUUAUGCAGCAUUAAGUGAGUUCAACCAUGUAUUUUAUGUUUUAGAAAAUGAAAACAGUGAUAUGUUGUGUAAGCUUUAUUCUCGACCAGUACUGUUUUGAGUAAUCCGAUUAUAUUUAAUAAGACUUGUAACUUAAUAAGUGAUGUAAAUUUAACUAGUAUUGGAUAUCAACUGUCAGUUCAUUAUACAUUGUUGUAGUAUUUUAGCACUCAUAUACUUUUCACUAAGGUUGUGCGUGAAUAUGUAAAUUUCAUUACUUUGAAGUGAUAUGUAUAUAAUUGUACAUGUAUUGUAUUAUACUGUUAUAAUGAUUUGCUCAAAAUGUUAACACAGAUUGAUCAUAUGUGUAUAUUACUAUUCAGUUUUACUUGAAAUAUACAAGUGAUAUUCAUUCAGUAAAAAAAAAUAUACGAGUAUUUUGACAGAUAAUUUUGUGAUUUGAUUGGUACAAAUUAGUUAAGAACUAUAUCACUCUAAUAGCGUACCGAAUUCUAUAUAAAAUGUUUCUUUGUAAUUAUAGGACAUGCUUAGUUAUGAACAAUAUCAAAUCAACUCCAACAAUUCAACAUUUCUUUUUAGGGGACGUUUAUGAAUUAUUUGUCGUGUUAACAUCUGUGUAAAAAAGACACAAAAUACGUUUUUGUAAUAAGUUCUUUUGGCGUUUAAAAACAAAAAUUUAUAUUUCUGUAUGAUUUUGGCUACAAUUACAAGAACUGUACAUGCUGCUUCUAAGUUAAGUAAUAUAUUAAACAAGAGGGUCAUGAUGACCCUGGAUCUCUCACAUGAGUAAUAUGAGCUACAUGUUUCAAAUGUCAAACUGAUGCUAAAAUAUUAAGAAAGAAGGUCAGCAGGUCACAUAUAUGGUCACUGAAAGUCAGUUUUAAGAUUGGUUUGCAAAACUGUACAUGUCAUAUAAAUUUCAAGAUUGUAUCUUAAAAACAAGAACGUAGGCCAGUAGAUCACAUUCAUCGUCACUGAAAGUCAGUUUUAAGAUCGGUGUGCUAAACUGUACAUGUCAUCCAAAUUUCAAGACUGUAUCUUAAAAACAAGAAAGUGGGUCAGUAGGUCACAUUUAUGGUCACUGAAAUUCAGUUUUAGGAUUAGUCUGCAAGAAAGUAGGUCAGUAGGUCACAUUCCACAUGACCCAGAUUUGACAUUCUGACCAACUUUCAUGAAGAUACAGUCAUAAAUGGGACCUGUAGAGUGUUAAAAGGUUUUAAUUUGAGUUGACCUGGUGACCUAGAUUUCGACCCCACCUGACCCAAAUUUGCACUUAACCUAAAAAUCAUCAGGAUUAACAUUCUGACCAAGUUUAAUUAGGUUAUGGUCUUAAACGUGGCCUCUAGAGUGUUAACUAGCUAUUCCUUUGAUUUGACCUGGUGACCUAGUUUUUAAUUCCACCUUACCCAGAUUUGCACUUAACCUAAAGACAAUCAAGAUUAACAUUCUGACAAAGUUUCAUUCAGAUAUGUUUAUCAAUGUGGCAUCUAGAGUGUUAACUAGCUUUUCCUUUGAUUUGAACUGCUGACCUAGUUUUUGACCCCACAUGACCAAGAUUCAAACUUAUCUAAAGAUUAUCAAGAUUAACAUUCUGACUAAGUUAAAAGAAGAUACAGUCGUAAAUAUGGACUCUAGAAUGUUAACAAGCUUUUCCUUUGAUUUGACCUGGUGACCUAGUUUUUGACCCCACCUGACCCAGAUUUGAAUUUGACCUAAAGAUCAUCAAGGUUAACAUUCUGAGAAAGUUUCAUAGAGAUAUUUUCAAAAAUAUGGCCUCUUGAAUGUUAACCAGCUUUUCUUUUGAUUUAACCUGGUGACAUAGUUUUUUUACCCCAGAUGACCAAAAUCUAAUUGGUCCAAGAUUUUAUUGAGAGUAACAUUCUGACUCUUAAGAUGGUCUACUUGAAAACAAAAAUUGAUAGUUUUACCAAGUUUAUCGAACAUUGUAUCUUUCACAGAGUUCUAUUCUAACCAUUAUGUAAAUGAACUUUUGUAGGAAUUAAAUAUUAAACUGAAAUGCCUUUAGAUUUUUUUAACUGCUGCUAUUUGUAUUGUUUGAAAUCUUAGUUCAUCUAAAAUGGUAUAAAAGCCAAUUUGUAUGUCUAUUCCUUGUUUUUGUUCUAGCAAUUUCCUUUUAUACUUAUAUAUACCUAGAUUUGACAUACAACCACACAGAACGGUGUGUUUAAAUAACUCAAUUUAGCUGUAAUGUAAACAUCUUUUUUUUCCUUUUCUUGUAUCCAGUUAUGACUGACAUUUCCCAGUUACUCAGUGUUGUUUUCCAUUCAAACGACAUAUUUCAGAACAUUGGUUUGGGCAAAAGUACUACUAUUUUCUCAAAUAGUGCAAAGUUGCAGUCAUAAAACGAGCAAGACGAAUCUUAAAAAUACUUGCUAUCAAAAGAGCAUAUGCGAUAAUAUACAUGUAUGUCUAGAUAAAUAAAGGCUUGAUUUUUUCUAUGAUUAUCACAGUGUCUUAAUCAAACUUUUCUCAUUUUGAGACAAUUGUUUCAAAUAACAUAUUGAACAUGUGAUUUCAGUAGUUUUACAAUGUACUAGCUCAAAUAAUUGUGUAUAUAUUUCCAUUUCUCAUGUUAAAACAUUUGUUUAAAGUUCUUAUUGAGUCCGGAAACUGAAUUUUAGUAUUUAAAUGACUAAGUUUUCUAUAUAUGAGCGCGCCAUGAGAAAACCAACAUAGUGCAUUUGCGAUGAGCAUGGAUCCAGACCAGCAUUCGUGCUGUUCGCUUUCAAAGUCUAUUGUAAUUAGAGAAACCGUUAGCGAGCAGCAUGGAUCCUGACCAGACUGCUCGCAAAUGCAUUAUGUUGGUUUUCUCAUGGUGUGGCUCAUGUCUGCUCUUAUAAUGUUUUAUGACAAGGUGCUGGAGAGUAAAUGCGACAAAUACGUAUUUCCGUUUCUUUCAGAAGAAUGACAGCAUUUUAAAUACGAUAAGGGCAUAUAGAAUAAUUGGCACGGUAAAGGUUGUGGAACACGCGCUAUGAAUAUUUUACGUACUGUAGAUUGGGUUAUUUUUAUCGUGAACUUUAUUUAGCGAAUUUGUUGUUGGCAGCCUUAUUAUCGGUGUUGAGAAUUAUCGAGACUUGGUUUAGGAUAUGAAAGCAUUAUUCGCGAAUAUAAGCGAAAAUAAAACAAACGUAAAUAUAACUUUAGAUGGAAUAAAAUUAUGUAUCUAUUAUUUUAUAUGCCGAGAUGUGAAAUUGAAUUUUAAAUCAUUUACUGAACGCUUACAGUAUAUGUGAAGGUGCGUACAACAUGCAUCAGUUAAAUGCGUUGUGUUAAACUUUGUUAGCUGCCUUUAUAUUGUGACAUAUUGUUGCCGUGCUCAUUUACAGAAAACUAUAUAUUCACUUUUAAAUUUCAUUUGAAAUGAUUCGAUUUAUUUAUUUCAUUUUUUCACUCCAACUAGAUUUAAGUGGAAUAAUUUUGCACUAUUUCCAGGAUGUGAUGAGGUACGUUUUGAAACGAGUUUUUAAUAACUGGAAAAUAAUGCUAUAGGCUAAUGUUAAUAUAGCUUUGUUUUGAAAUACUAAAAGAAUGCAGCCAGUAGCAGUACCACUUUAAAAAUAGCUGUCAAAUAUAUUUUGUAUGUUGUAUGUUGUUUUCUUUGCUAUGUUAAAUAUAAUUGCGAGGAUAUUCUUUAUGGUGAAGAGUGACAAAAGAGGUUUUGUUAUGUUUGCAAAUUUUAAAUGAUUGUUACAAGGUUUAACCAAAAAAAUACUUAAAGGCUGAAAAUUGUCUGCAAAUUGCAUGUUUCUUUAUGUAUAAAGUCCAAAUUCAAUUGUCUAUGUCAGGGUAUUUAUAUGUUAAACUUUCAAAAUUCAUGGAACUGUAUAAUCAUUUAACAAUAUAACAACUGACAAUUUGCUGUUUGAUUUUAUUUCCAUACAUUGAUUCUCAUUAACAUGCAUGGAAACCUCAGAGGGGACAGCUCAAUCUGCAGGAGGUUGAUUUUUUAAAGGCUGUAUGAUGUUUAUCAUUAACAUCUUUUAUUCGUAACACUAUUAAAAUAAAAUAAUAUUUAUCCGUU